rnacentral:misc_RNA from 1 species
GAGCAAUCGGAUUUGAGAUUUUGCUUCAGAAUAAUUUCACCAACAAAGAGCUAUACUUUGCAGGCAGAGAGCAUAGCAGAACAAAUGGUGUGGAUAGAAAAAAUAACAGGAGUUAUUACCUCGUUACUGAGUUCUCAGACACCUGAAAGGCAUUUUUCUAUGAGUCCCUCUACCAAAAGUAGAUCCAUAGGAAGUCCCAUGAGUCAGGAUCAAAGAACAAUUGAAGAAUGCACAUCUGGGAGGGAUUUCAUUGCUAAGAGUUCCAUACGUCAAUCCAAAAGUGUAUCACACCUCCCGAGCAUGAAAGUAGAGAAACCAACUGAUGCACUGAAGAGGAUACCUGGGAAUGAUAAAUGUGCUGAUUGUGGUGCUCCUGAUCCAGACUGGGCUUCUUUAAAUCUUGGUAUUCUUAUAUGCAUUGAAUGUUCUGGCAUUCACCGUAAAUUUGGUGUACAUAUAUCAAAGGUAA